rnacentral:misc_RNA from 1 species
CAGGUGGAAUUGAGAGACCGAUAAACUUAAUCGUAUUAAUUACACCUGAAAUAGUGAAAGCUGAAACAAGACCGCUUAAGAAAACUCACCAAAACCUAUUUAUAAGUAAAUAAAAUAAUUUUUUAUUCAGGUUAUAUAUUUAAAAAAAUUAUUUAAAAUAAAGUGUAAGUUAUAUGGAAGAUGUUUUUAUUAUUAUUUAUUUUAAAAUUACCCUUUAACUAAAUAAAAUAUUAUAUUAUUUUAAUGACUUAAAAAUAUUAUCACUGUUCUCAUUUUAGUAAAUUCUAUCACAACUUUUUUUAAUAUUUUGAUCAAAAUACUUAAAUUGUUUAAAAGUUAACUUUUAAAUAAUUUUCAUAAAUAUUCAAUUACUUAUUUUUUAAAUUAAUUUGUAAUUAUUAAGGGUAUAAGUUAAAAGUUAACAUUCAAACACUUUAGUUACAAAUGCAAAUGCAAGGUAAAUGCAAUAAACUCAACAAAAGUGGGUCUCAAGGCCUCAUCGGCUGAAUCCUGUAGGUUGUGCAGGAGGCUGUAUUUUUCUGAGAAAUGAUGCGAUGGUGGAUGGGUAUUGUCGUGGCCAGUUGCAUUUUCUUAUCCCUGUACGUCAGGAGGAAGUUACUACCAGGAUAAUGCUAUGAACCAGGACAUUGAAGGACUAGAAUAAGCGUGAGCUUGCAUGAAUAACGAGACUGCUUCAUAAUUUAGUAACGAAGUGGUAGGACCCAUCUAACUUAAGCAUUUGGCGACCAAGCAAGUGUUAGGGAAAGGACGAAGGGAGAGAGGAGAACAGGGUGACAAAGCCGUAUUUCCUAUUAAUUUAUACUAGCUUGUAAAGUAACACUGAAUUUGUUAGAAGGAAAUGUCAAAAGUAUCAAUCAAAAACAGAAACUGAACAAACUCUUUGAAAAAAAUCCUAACUAGAAGCCACAAAGCUUUAACUGGAUAAAGGAGUGCUGGAAGUGGGGUUAGGCUGCCUUCCACACCAAUGGUAGGUCGAGACCACAAUAAAGCUGACUCAUAUUCAGAAGCAACUGAUAAGCGCAAUUUAAUAAAUUUGUGUUGCUCACAUCUAAUUCGCAUAUAAUCAUAUCGACAAUGUUAUACAACGUGGUAAUGACGCAGUAGUUACUAAGAAAAGCGAGCACUGAGUUUAGUAAUUAUACUAAUCAGCAUGAACUAGUCUAGUCUCACUAAUUCAUAUUCCUCGCAUGUGAAAGCAUGAAAUAACAUAUAUAUAUAUAUAUCAUACGCUGGUGCGAUUCUAGUGGAGCAGCUGCACGCAGCAUGGGUAGACGCUACUCUCCAUACCUUUUCUUCUGCUCAUUUCUGUUGUGCUCUUCCUGCAUGGUGGCAUCCAGGCACUUGGGAUCUUCAAGUAGCAGGAAAAUUCUGCUCGACAAUGGCCUUGGUCUCACUCCCCCUAUGGGGUGGAACAGUUGGAAUCAUUUCCACUGCCAGAUAAAUGAGAAGAUUGUUAAAGAAACAGCUGACGCUUUAGUCUCAACUGGGCUAGCACAGCUUGGAUACGUCUACGUCAACAUAGGGCAAUCUUGUGGCCAACAAGACUACAUUCCCUUCUGGGAUUAAAGCUCUUGCAGAUUAUGUGCAUAGCAAGGGCCUGAAAUUAGGAAUCUAUGCUGAUGCAGGGCUCAAAACAUGUACGGGAAAAGUGGCAGGCUCACUCGGGCGUGAAGAGCAAGAUGCCAAAACAUUUGCUUCAUGGGGAGUUGACUACUUGAAGUAUGAUAAUUGUUACAACAACGAUGAGAAACCAACCACUAGAUACAAAGCCAUGUCUGUUGCUCUGAAGAAGACGGGGCGCCCCAUUUUUUUCUCUAUGUGUGAAUGGGGGGAUAUGCGUCCAGCUCUAUGGGGAGCAGAUGUUGGGAAUAGCUGGAGAACUACUGAUGACAUUUCAGACUCAUGGGAGAGUAUGCUUAAGGUCGCUGACGUGAAUGAGAUGUAUGCUGAUUACGCUAAACCUGGUGGUUGGAAUGACCCAGAUAUGCUAGAAGUGGGAAAUGGAGGAAUGAAGUAUAGUGAAUACGUGGUGCAUUUUAGCAUAUGGGGUAUCUCUAAGGCACCACUCCUUUUAGGCUGCGAUGUACGAUCGUUGAGCAACGAGACUAUGCAGAUUAUCAGCAACGAGGAGGUGAUUGCUAUUAAUCAAGAUUCUUUGGGUGCUCAAGCCAGAAAAGUAAGAAUGGAAGGACAGCGAGAUAUAUGGGCUGGACCUCUAUCUGGGGAUAGAGUAGUACUUCUAUUUGUAAACAGAAAGCCGUGGAAAUCUUCAAUGACAGCCCAUUGGGACGACAUCGGUAUCGAGCCGACUAAUAGAGCUGUUGAAGCAAGAGAUGUAUGGGAGCGUCGUACCCUCUCAGAGCCAUUUCAAGACAAACUAACAGCGGAUGUGGACCCUCAUGCCUGCAAGCUCUAUGUUCUAACCUCAAUCCCAUAGCUCUUUUCCUUUUCUUUUCUUUUCUUU